rnacentral:ncRNA from 1 species
GUCGGGAGGGCGGCUAAUAAAACACCCGCAAGGGGAAUACGCCCGCCGUCUGUUUGCGGUUUCGAACCUCCCGACUUCCCGCC